rnacentral:rRNA from 1 species
GGAUCAAUUUGCUGGUCGUGCCUUUGGUACGUACUGGUAUUAUUGGUUUCUCCUUUCUGAAGAACUACGAUGUCAUUAAUUUGAUGUCGUGGGGAAUCAGGACUGUUACUUUGAAAAAAUUAGAGUGUUUAAAGCAGGCUUACGCUUGAAUACAUUAGCAUGGCAUAAUGAAAUAGGACGGACUGAUUCUAUUUCGUUGGUUUCUAGGAUCGACGUA